GACGAACGCUGGCGGCGUGCUUAACACAUGCAAGUCGAACGGACACGCCCUUCUUUUGUGCGGUGCUCUAGUUGCCACCUGGUGAGUUACCCUUUAGUACCCUACCCUUCACUUUGGGUUACCUUCAUGCCGCUUAGGCUCUUACCGGGUAGGAGCUCCUGCUGCAUGGUGGGCGUUGGACAGUUUCGGCGGUUGGUGAUGUACUCGCGGCGUAUCAGCUUGUUGGUGGGGUAGUGGCUUACCAAGGCUUUGACGGGUAGCCGGGCUGCGCGGGUCACCGGACACACUGGGACUGAGAUACGGCACAGACUCCUACGGGAGGCAGGAGAGGAGAAGAGUGCACAAUGGGCGGAAGGCUGAUGCAGCAACGCCGCGUGCGGGAAGACGGGAUGCGGGUUGGAAACCGAAGUCGCCUGGGACGAAGCGUGAGUGACGGUAACGGGUAAAGAAGCACCGGCUAACUACGUG
rnacentral:rRNA from 1 species